rnacentral:tRNA from 1 species
GCCGAGGUGGCAGAGCGGACUAACGCGACGCGCUCGAGACGCGUUGUUCCCUUGGAACACUUGGGUUCGAAUCCCAACCUCGGCG